ACCCUUACCUGGCAGGACAGAUACCAGGACCGUGAAGGCAAGUUUCCCAGGGCAAGACUUAUCGACUGCACUCCAGAUGAGCUGACCCCCGCAAUUUCUCCAAAUUCAGGAAACUACUAAUAAUUGGUGGUAGUGGGAGGCUUGUUCACGUUCUUCCUC